rnacentral:rRNA from 1 species
CGGAGCAUGCGGAUUAAUUCGAUGCAACGCGAAGAACCUUACCAAGGCUUGACAUAUACGAGAACGGGCCAGAAAUGGUCAACUCUUUGGACACUCGUAUACAGGUGGUGCAUGGUUGUCGUCAGCUCGUGUCGUGAGAUGUUGGGUUAAGUCCCGCAACGAGCGCAACCCUCGUUCUAUGUUGCCAGCACGUAAUGGUGGGAACUCAUAGGAGACUGCCGGGGUCAACUCGGAGGAAGGUGGGGAUGACGUCAAAUCAUCAUGCCCCUUAUGUCUUGGGCUUCACGCAUGCUACAAUGGCCGGUACAAUGGGCUGCAAUACCGUGAGGUGGAGCGAAUCCCAAAAAGCCGGUCUCAGUUCGGAUUGAGGUCUGCAACUCGACCUCAUGAAGUCGGAGUCGCUAGUAAUCGCAGAUCAGCAACGCUGCGGUGAAUACGUUCCCGGGCCUUGUACACACCGCCCGUCAAGUCAUGAAAGUCGGUAACACCCGAAGCCGGUGUUCCCAACCCU